rnacentral:lncRNA from 10 species
CACUUGCCUCAUUUAUCCUCCAUUUGAAAAAUUUCAAAAACUAUUCAUUUGUUUGCAUACCAAGGCAGUACAGAAUCUUCUACAGUGGCACUUCGAUGCUCAAUCAUCGUUUUUCCUUUUUCUUAAUUUUCAAGUCUCAUGAGUCUCCAAAUCAUAGCAUCUGCAACCAUUUUUCUGUGCAAAGGGCUCCGUGAAGUGCCUAAGCAUGGUCUUCUUUAAGCCUCGACAUGACCCUG